CCUACGGGAGGCAGCAGUGGGGAAUAUUGCACAAUGGGGGAAACCCUGAUGCAGCGACGCCGCGUGAAGGAAGAAGUAUUUCGGUAUGUAAACUUCUAUCAGCAGGGAAGAAAAUGACGGUACCUGACUAAGAAGCCCCGGCUAACUACGUGCCAGCAGCCGCGGUAAUACGUAGGGGGCAAGCGUUAUCCGGAUUUACUGGGUGUAAAGGGAGCGUAGGCGGUUUAGCAAGUCAGAAGUGAAAGCCCGGGGCUCAACGCCGGGACUGCUUUUGAAACUGGUGAACUAGAGUGCAGGAGAGGUAAGUGGAAUUCGUGGUGUAGCGGUGAAAUGCGUAGAUAUUAGGAGGAACACCAGUGGCGAAGGCAGCUUACUGGACUGUAAAUGACGCUGAGGCUCGAAAGCGUGGGGAGCAAACAGGAUUAGAUACCCGAGUAGUC
rnacentral:rRNA from 1 species